GGGAAGGGAUAAACGCUGAAAGCAUCUAAGUGUGAAGCCCACCUCAAGAUAAGAUUUCCCAUAGCGUAAGCUAGUAAGACCCCUCGAAGAACACGAGGAGAUAGGUCAGAGGUGUAAGCAGGGCAACCUGUUAAGCUGACUGAUACUAAUAGGUCGAGGGCUUGACCAAAU
rnacentral:rRNA from 1 species